rnacentral:rRNA from 1 species
AGAUUGAACGCUGGCGGCAUGCUUUACACAUGCAAGUCGAACGGCAGCGCGGGGGCAACCCUGGCGGCGAGUGGCGAACGGGUGAGUAAUGUAUCGGAACGUAUCCUGUAAUGGGGGAUAACCAGUCGAAAGAUUGGGUAAUACCGCAUACGCACGAGAGUGGAAAGUAGGGGAUCGCAAGACCUUACGUUAUAGGAGCGGCCGAUAUCUGAUUAGCUAGUUGGUGGGGUAAAGGCCUACCAAGGCGACGAUCAGUAGCUGGUCUGAGAGGACGACCAGCCACACUGGGACUGAGACACGGCCCAGACUCCUACGGGAGGCAGCAGUGGGGAAUUUUGGACAAUGGGCGAAAGCCUGAUCCAGCCAUGCCGCGUGCAGGAAGAAGGCCUUCGGGUUGUAAACUGCUUUAGUCUAGGAAAAAGGGGUGCGAGGUUAAUACCCUCGUGCUUUGAUGGUACUGGAAGAAUAAGCACCGGCUAACUACGUG